rnacentral:tRNA from 3 species
GGGCCAUUAGCUCACGCUUGGUUAGAGCAGCCCCCUCAUAAGGGGUUGGUACGGUGUUCGACUCACCGAUGGCCCACCA